rnacentral:rRNA from 1 species
GAUCAUGGCUACAGAACGAACGCUGGCGGCAGGCUUAACACAUGCAAGUCGAGCGCGUAGCAAUACGAGCGGCAGACGGGUGAGUAACGCGUGGGAAUCUACCCAACCCUACGGAAUAACGCAUGGAAACGUGUGCUAAUACCGUAUACGCCCUUCGGGGGAAAGAUUUAUCGGGGAUGGAUGAGCCCGCGUUGGAUUAGCUAGUUGGUGGGGUAAUGGCCUACCAAGCCUACGAUCUCUAGCUGGUCUGAGAGGAUGAUCAGCCACACUGGAACUGAGACACGGUCCAGACUCCUACGGGAGGCAGCAGUGGGGAAUAUUGGGCAAUGGACGAAAGUCUGACCCAGCCAUGCCGCGUGAAUGAUGAAGGCCUUAGGGUUGUAAAGUUCUUUCGCCGAUGAAGAUAAUGACGGUAGUCGGAGAAGAAGCCCCGGCUAACUUCGUG